AGUUAACCUGAAAUAAAAGACAAAGAUGAAACUAUUAAAUUUGCCUGUAAAAACGCUCACAGCUAUGCUCAGCUUUUCUGCUGAGUGUCACUUUCAGGAGCCGCUAAGGCUCAGAAAACUUCCCACAGGAGGUACCAGGAACCAAAGUUAACAAAGCAGUUUAAUUCCUUAAACAGAACAAAAAUGUGUUAUUUCUAGGUUAAUACCAAAUGAAUGGCAUGUGAGAGGGAGCUGAGAGAGGCAUGCCGUAGUUCUGAGUGUGAAGACGGCAGAUGCAGGCGAACCGGUAUGACCAUGUUGGCUGGCUUUUGAUUAGCCAAAAAAAAAAAAAAAAGAAGAAAAGAAGGAAGAAGAAACAAAAGGUUUUGUAACUUAACAAUCAGUGCACAUUGGACUUUUAUUACAAAUCCACAACAAUGUAUUAGAACAAGUUUCCCUGGCCACCAAGGUACACAAAAACAUGCUAAAAAUAUACCCAUUUGAUGCGUGGGACCUGCUCUGUCAGUUUCACCUACAUAUGAACUUCUCACACACAAACUGAAUGUGCUCAGUAGCAGCUGUUUCCUUGUAUUUGUGCUUGUCUGCAUUUAGAAUUUGCUAGUCGGAUUUCACACUUCACGCUGUAAUAUGGCCUCUAGAUUAAAAGAUGUGCUUUUAAAGAACAUAAAAACCAAACUGUGAGUAAAAUAACUAAGCUAGCUGAUGAUCGCCACAUAUAUUUCGAUCAUCGCCAUUAAUUUCAAUAUAAGUGAUUAAGCAAGGUCAGAAAUAAACUGUUAUCACUUAAAAUGCUUCAGAUAUAUUCCUGAUAUUGCAGUGUACCGUAAGUCCGGUAGCAAGGCAACACUUUUUGUUACAUUUGGAUAACAGAUCACGUUGUCUUUAAACGUAGAAUUCUGUUAAUGUAUGAUAUACUUGAUUUGUAAGCUUUAUGUUGCAAAAUUUUCCAUGUUGGCAGUGAUUUAUUGUAAAUGGUACACCUCUACAUUUCAGUGCAUUUUUAUAGCAUUAAUUUAAUAGCUAAGUCACCUCAGGGCACUUCAUACUGCAAAGCCAUGACUGUACAAUAUGUACAGUAUGUGAGGUGACCAGAACAGAGGAGCUACACGCGUUACAUCAUCUCAUCCAUUAUAGAGAUACAGCUGCAAGGUAUGGAUAUCCUGCCUAGCAACACAAACCAGCGCUGCCUCCACUUGGCCCACUUUCAUAUUCAUCAGCCCAACGCAUAUGGCAGAAUAAUUACAGCAGUAAAGAUGCUCAGACGAAUGUUCUCAUGUAAUGUAUAAAUGACGUGAGAAAAUCAGAUAACAGAAAUGACGAAUAAUGAUUCCCUUCUGUAGUGUCGUGUCUUGGUUAGAAAACCGUUUCACUUGACUUGAUUUAUGGCUUAAAUCAGCAACCUUAUUAAACACCGUAGAUGCCAUUUUUAUCUCUGUGUUGCUAACUGGCUCCGGUGAUGCAGUUCAGCUACAUUUUCUCAGUAGGUCAGCGCAUAUAUUAUUCAUGUAUCAAACACAGACGUGCUCAUAGAAAUGCAGGGGUGAGCGAGCAGCAGUACACGUCUCAGACAGACAUGCGCUCAGAUAUAUAGUAGUCAGAAACAUUACAUAGUCAAUGAAAAGGGCACACACAUCCAUGCACAAAAACACAAACAAACACACUGACAAGCAUCAUCCCCCACCAGACUCUCCUCCUGUCUGCACAUCUGUCGCUGCUGGAUCUAAUACAGCUCUCAAUCCCCCCAUGUCCUAUUGUCAGUUGCUGCCCACUGCGCACUCACACACAUAAACACACACACAUAAACACACACACUCACCCACGAUAAGGGUGGGUCAGAGCCAGGCUGUAUCUUUCCAGUCUCUUGCAAAGAGGAUCCAAUGACAUACAGUCUCCAGACUGGAAGAGUAAAGGUCAAGUCUAAAGCUGUCAACCACCAGAACGACAUGUCACAUUCACACUCUGGUUAGUGACAGGCAGGGUGUCUGAUGGAAAUGAUUAGUGCUCUGGUGACAUUCCUGCCAUGCCAGCUGGACAUUCCAGUCUCCACUUCCCCCACAGCGACCAGAGGUUCCCCUGGAUCACUAUUUCAACCUUCAUGAAAAUCUCAGCUGAGCUGCUCUGUCCAGCUGCUGUUCAUCACCAAUCACUCGUCAACGGAACUCCGGGCAGCUGUGGUGCAGCACACCUGAUGAUCAUCUCCACCAUAAAAGCCGGCUGCACACUCCACACCUUGCCAAAUAGUAAACUCUGCUGACGCACUCUGCUGACCCAGCUGCCCAGUUCCACCUGCUCUGUCCUCCCAUCUCCUGCACUCCGGAUCCAGCCCUGACCAGACCUCCCCCCUCCCUCCCUCACCCUGGACCUGCUGCCUGCUCCUGGAUCUCCUACUCGUCGUGGAGGGUCUCUGCCUGCCGUGUGCCCCCCUCGGCUCUGGAAAACACCCCGCCUGUCGCCCCCCUGGAACGAGGCCCUCCUGCCCGCUCUCCGCCGCCGACCCACCCCACGGAGAACGCCAACCGGGCCGCCGGUUCCUGGUACAGUCACCCCCCCAACCUCCCCUUUAGUUCAGUUAUUCCAGUCACCAGGUUCCCCACCCCGUCCAGCACUCCCCUUUGUUUUGUUAAAUAAAAUCCACCUUCGUUCUUGCCUCAGUCCCUCGUCUGUGUGCUCUCUGCUCGGGUUCACCCCCACGCUGUGGCAAAAACAGUUCAAUUUUGACCUGCAGAACAACACAAGGGUUAAUAAAGUAAUCUGUAGUAUUGCCCAACAGGGUACGUAUAGUCUGCAUUCCAACACACAAUACAUGGAGACUAUGUCAUGUCUUCAGCAAUGUAGACAUAUUUGUUUAAUUAAAAUCUUGACACUGUCCUGUUGAUCAUUCUAAGGAGCUUAGCUAAAGUUUGACCUCCUAACUUCCAAGCAAACAAAUCUUUCUGUUAAAGUUGGAAAAAAGUCAGUGUGUAAAAUGUGAAAAAAAACUAAAUCAAAGUUGUGAACAAAUCUACUACAGUGAACAUUCAGCUCAAGCAUUUAAGAAUUAAAAGUCAAUGCAUUUAUUAAUCUGUGUGCUCAGAAAUGUAAAACUAGUAGACAAACAACACAUUUUUGCAUAAAACUGUAUUAAUGUACUUUGAAAGAGAGGAAAAAAAAAUCACAUGCACUAUAUUUUUACAGUGAUGACUUCUUUGUUUUUCAGAAAAUCUGUAUAGGCUGCCUGUGAUACUAAAAUAAAUGGUAAACAGAUAGGAAGAUGGACAAGUUUGGAGCUGAUAUAUGUCUUGUAUGCUUCGGAAAUGUGAAGCAUAAGCGAGUAACGUGCUAUAUGCUAGAUCUCAGUGUUGUUCAGUGACAAGAACUUAAAGUUACAUCUGCUUUCAAGAGUAUGGCAAGAAGUUUUAAUCUUUUACCACUGUUCGACUGUGACAGUAACUGUUUUCCUUUUAUCGAAAGUCUCCUCUCAAAAAUCCUUCAUUGGAGGUAUUGCUGAACUGGAAGAUUGUGUCUUAGAUUGAUGUUAAAAUUGUCCACAACCCUUGUAAAUGUGUUUUGUAUUAGUUGUGAGAGAGUAGCCUGAGAAUCGAGCAGUAAUGGAGCAUUGCCUUCUGCAACAGUGAAGUGUGUGGGAGAUGCUGGAUGAGUUGAAUCUAAUAGGCUUAUUAUUCUGUUUGCUUGAUGCAAGAGAAGCGAUUGUGACAUUUAAAGUCUCUUUUAUGUUGUCCAAUAACAAAACACAUACAAAUACACCAACACACAUGCAUGCUUUUUGUGGACGCUUCUAUGAGGCGGCUUAAUGUAAAAGAGUCGAAAAUGUGCAAAAGUGUGACUGAACCCCAUAUGUCCAUCUCUCUGCCAAGAUGCCACAAUUACUUGCAAAGUGUUUUGGUUGAAGGUACAUUUGGCUUUAGUGUGAUAAAAGGUGUGAAAUAACUGUUCAGGAAAAGACAUAGUGACAGUGCUGCUGUCAUAUGUUCAACCCUGACAUUUAGCCAGCUAAUCAAUGUGUCCUGCGCUGCUCCAGCUCCCUGAUGUUUAACCCAUCUGAUCAAAGCAGGCAGAGAACAGCAUGCAUCCUAAUCUGAGAGGCUAAUGAUGGAACAGGAAGGAAAUUAACGUGAGCACGGGGCAACCUUGUUUUAAGGUGACUCAUUAAUGUAAUGACUAUUUUUGCAUUACAGUGAUGACAACAGACCCUGUGACUGUGAGAGGAGAACAUUACAACAAUUAUGGAAAGCACUUUGCUUCAGCUUUGGUGAUACAGCCUUUGAUAUAUUCAGGGUCAAACAACAGACAAUGUAACGUGUUAAAAGAAAAAAAAACACUCAUUUCACAUCUUUUUUUGUGUGCACUUACUCAUCCAUUUUGCAAAGAGCACUGGCCACUAAUGAAGGUCAGCAGAUAAGUGUCCUAGAUUCUUCCAAUGCUCCUCUUUUUCCUAAACAGAGAACAGCUGGGAUAAACAAGAGAACCUGAAGCACUGGGAUUAUAAACUAAUUUAGCACAGGUACUGCAACAUUACACCACAGAUCAAUUAAAAUCCAGCUCCUCUUGGAUUGUGUAAAGCGACCAAAAAACAAAUAUGUCACACGCAUUCUUCUAUAAUUCGCAAUGUUUUCGUCCAAGCUUGAAAACGUAUUUUUCACUUUUAAGUGCCCAGUUAUUAUUUUAUGGCGGGCCUCCGUGGCUGUGGACUGAAUGUAAAAGCAAGCGGUGACUGUAGAAAGACUAACUUCAGAUUAAUUGCACCAUCUAGUGACUGGCUGGGGGCAAAACCGCCUACAGCGCCUUCCUAUUUUAGCAGGUGAAACUAUAAAAACAUACACAGACUUAAAAGGACAAAGUAACAGUGUGAUCUCAACUUCUGCUGCUGUUUAUCUUAACGUUUAGACAUGCGUGCCAUCACCAAUCCGUGCGUAAAUUAUAAUCAGAUAACAGCCAUGGGAUAAAAAAGUUCCAAGUCGAACAGAUGUAACAAAGCAAACAUUUACAAUGAUUUUGCAUAGUAUUUAAGAAGCCAAACCGUGUCUUUUGUUGAAUGACUUGUCAAAGAAAGGCUUCUCAAUUUGUUCGCUGGUUUUAUCCAUAAACUAAAAGACGCGUACCAUCAAUGCGCUGUGCGUAAAAGCAAACUCGGAUAAUAACCUGGAGAAAAACAGCUUUAGAUCGAGAAUAUCUAACAAAUUUAAUGUUUAUAAUGCCUUUACAUAGUAUUUAUGAGGCAACGCAGUGUUGCUGUAUGUUUUAACAAAGAAUGACUGUGUGCAGGAAAGCUGUCGAUGGCUCAUUUCGCACAAAUGUCCAAAGCACCAGGACGAAGUGGACGAAAAUGAAGUUCACGAUACAGGGACAUGGCGAGAAGUCUCCAGCGUUACGGACAAGGACCUCGUGGCGCAACGGUAGCGCGUCUGACUCCAGAUCAGAAGGUUGCGUGUUCAAAUCACGUCGGGGUCAUUUAUUUCCUCCUUUAGUGUGAACACAAUAUCGGUGUAGUGAUGCAAGAGGUCGUGUAACGCGCAUGACUGACCGCAUUUGAGGUCUCCAAUCAAUAAAUCUCAUAGUUAAACCCCAGUAAUGUCACUUAUUUGCAAUUUCUAUUAAUGUCAGUCAUUAAAUGUUUUUUUAUGUUGGACCUUUCAAUGAUUUUCAUCAAUACCUGUCAAUAUAAAUUCAAAUCAAUAAUGGAGUGUAUUUUAAAGAAAGAGGAUUUAUCCCAAAAAGGAUGAAGAAUCACUCUGAAUAAAAAAUACUGAGUGGCCUCCUUUACCCCCCUGAAACUGGACAUCAGACCAAAAGGUCAAAAGUUCACCAUCCCUAGUUUCCUAACAGAGGUGCUUAAAAUGCAAUUCUGGAAAUGCAGCACAUCACGAGUGUAUUCUUUGUGGUUUUCCUCACCAACCUCAAAUCUAAUUACACUUGUAAACAGUCUAAUUCCCAUAGCUGCUAUGGCGGAUUAAGUUUACAGCACAAACAACUAUCACAGCUGCCACCCAGCGUGAGCUUCAGUGACAUUACUAAAGAGCAGGGAAUUGAAACUCAGUGUUACCUCUUUUUUUGAAACAAUAAGCAUGCAUAGAACACACAUUCAGCAAAAUCUUGCUUAGAGCAAACUUUCUGCUUGUUGCCAUGCAUUCUUGAAACAUUACCAAUGGUUAUCUACCUUCUUAGUCCAGCUGCCAAUCCCCACUUUAAAAAUAUAUAUCCAGAAUGGUGACUUUAUGGGCUUUUGUGUUGUUUUUAAGUCUCCUUUGUCAUCCUGCUCAUUCCCAUUCAGUGUUUUCUCAUCAAGACAGUAGCUUCGUCUCUCCUCUCACAUUUCUCCUCUCUGCCUAAAUGCUUCAGCACAACACAACUCACAAGUCUCCCUGCCUCUCUCACUUGGUCCGAGUUUCCCUCCACCCCACCUGCUUUCUCUCCCCAGCUCAAGCCCGUUUCUCAUCUUUCAGUGGGACACGCUAAACCCUGAGGUUGAUUAGUACAGCCCUGGUGAGAGUGCAGCUUGGCGGAGACAACAGGUCACGUCCAGUCCUAAGGAGUUGACUCACAUGAGAAGGUCCUCAGCUGCACUCCACAAUCUAUCACAAAGGCCUGAUUGUACUCUGGUAGCUCUCAGUUUACAUCAAACAGGUCGGUUGCUGCUGACGUAGCGCUCUGCUUCUGAUAUCUCUGCUGGAACACAAGGCCACGCAUUGAGCUUUUGUCUGACUGCCUCCGACCAUAAAGAUCUUCACUAUUCCUAUCAGAGACAACAUUUUUAGAGUAGUCCAAAUUUAAAAAAAACAGCAAAUAUCUUUCUAAAAACCCCCUCUGUCUCUCUAUUCAUUUGCCCCUUCAUUUGAAAUGCCAGGCAACAGCAAAUGUCCCUAUUGAGCACUCGCCAGUGGGAGGAAUGGAUGUGGGAGGACAACAGAACAGCCAGAAAGGAGCCUGUAUUAAGCAGUUUGUUCAAGAGAGUAUUAUUACACUGUGAGAGCUCAAAUGAAAUGGCUGUAAACAAACCCUGUUGCCCAAGUAACACGGCUGAAUGUCUCUUUCUUCUCUUUUUAUCCCAAAUCACAGCUACUGCUGAACAGAGACAGCAGGGUGACGUGGCUUCAUCCCCAGCAAUGUGUCCUUAUCAGAGGCUCUUGUCACUUGUGAUAACGACUUCAUGAAGAAGUCUGAAAUUUAAGGAUUCACAAAAGAUCACAAUUUCAAAUGUGCUUCCUUUUCUAUAAGAGGCUGUCCUAAAGGUGCUACAUGGCUUAAAGUUAAAAGCCUGGCUUCAGUGCUCUGUGCAACAGUCUAGUCAUACUGACAGAGAGAAGAAAUAAUAGAUGAAGUGAAAGGCAAGUACUGGAAAUUGAGCAGGCGUCACUAAAGAGACAGGUCGGUCCGUGUACGGAUCUGGUUAUUGGAUUUUCCGUUCUGAAACGGGUAUUGAAAAACAAAAAACGAGUGGUUAUUUGAUUUUCGUUUGAAAAUACAAAAAUUAAAAUUGAAGUACAAGGCGUUCUUCCUUUUCAUGAUCAAAAAGGGAUAUACGAUUUUAAAAAAAUGCUUUGAUUUUCGUUUUAUAUUUAGAAUAACAAGAAAGUAAAAUCAGUAAGAGACAAACGAGAAAAGGUCCGUUUUUUCAUUUUCUGAGACCGGAAGUGGUCAUCAGCAAGUGUGGAGCCAGAGUACGGUGCAUAGACUGUAUAUACAUUUUUUUUCGUUAGUUUUCAUGGUCAAAAUGAGACAUCAGGUGGCUGAUCUUAAAAUAAAUCAAUAUUGAUUUUUUUUUUUAUAGAGCGUUAAAGUUUUGCGAAGCCACGGGGCGGGGCUACUUGAUUGAUAGUCCGGUCUGGAACGAUUGACAGGUCCUAUGGAAGCGGCAGCAGAGACUCUGCUCUCCUCGUUUGGAUUAAUUCUGAUAUAAUAACUGUUGGUUUAUUUAUCUGUGCAGCAGCAGGACAUUUUCCACAGACGGUUUUCCUGCCCGUUGGCUUGUUUUAACCGGUUUUCUACCUUCGGCUGAUUCUACCAGCAGACACUGAAAGGACUCUGAUAGUUCGAGUGAAAGCAGCAGUUCCUCCUGAAGGUCAGAGAUUGCAGCAUCUGGACCAGAAAGACCACGACCAAGCAGCCUUGAGAUCUUAGGCAGCAUCUCCCUCAGAUCCACCAACCACUGGAACACAUCUGCAAAGUUCUGCAGGGCCAGCUCAGCUUCCCCUCAGAAGAAGUGCCGCCACCUGCCAGAUGAAGGAGCCUUUUGAGAGGCAGCCGGCAUCGUGAUUGGACUGUACUUUGGUCUGUUCCAAUCCAGCUUCAGCUCCAGAGACGGCAGGCGGGACGAGUCAACGGAGGCCGGGUGGACGAAGGCAUGCAGCUGAGUACAAUCCAGAAAAAAACAGAGGAGGAGUGCAUCGGCCCAGGGCCAGAACAAACAGAGUAGCAUCGUAUGUCUCUUAGAAAACAUCAUAGUAUAGCCUUUGGUAUGAAAAAACGCCAUCAUAUACAUCAUAUAUUGUACAAAUAACAAGUCAAAGGAAAGAGACAUACAUUGUAGAAUUGUAGUAAUUGUGGGCUGACUGAUUUACUGAUUAUCAGUAUUUUAUUGUUUACUGAUUUACGGUAAUAAAUACAUUUAAAAAUGGU